rnacentral:lncRNA from 1 species
GUCUACCAGUUGCCACUUCUGGUCCAUUUGCAUAUAACACUGGAGAAGUGUUCCUUUAUCUUUGUGAAGCCCUUAACAUUCAAGGAGCCACUACUGCUUCUAUGCUGCUGAAAAAUACAAGACACUGCCUCUACCUCUGCAUCUGUCCUUUGCUUUUUGCUUGGAAACUAUCACAUCAAAUCACACUGAGAUCAGUUCCUACUGAGCUCUCACUGGCAAACUAUCAGUAGAAGAAGCCUGGACAAAACUGAGUUCAAUGCUUCACAAUUGCUGCGCUCUUCUUCUCCCCAGUGGAAAAAAAAAUGCUCUCUGCACCACAUGGCCGCUGGCCGCUGCCAGAGGAUGGAGG